UAUUAAAAACAUGGCUUGCUGAUUAUAAUUUUAAGUYUGACCUGCCCAAUGAAAAGUUAAAUGGCCGCGGUAUUUUGACCGUGCAAAGGUAGCAUAAUCAUUAGUUUUUUAAUUGAAAGCUUGUAUGAAAGGUUAAAUGAGAAAGAAACUGUCUCUAUAAAAAUUAAUUAAAAUUUUAUUUUUAAGUUAAAAAGCUUAAAUAAUUGUAGAAGACGAGAAGACCCUAUAGAAUUUUAUAUUCAAAUUUUAGUUAUUAAAAGUUUAGGAUUUGGAAAUUUAAAUUAAUUAGAUAGAAUAUUUUUUUGGGGUGAAGGAGAAAUUAGGUAAACUUUCUUUUGUUUAAAUCAUUGAUUUAUGAGUUUUUGAUCCUAAGUGUUUAGAUUAUAAGAAUAAAUUACCUUAGGGAUAACAGCGUAAUUUUUUUUAGAGUUCUUAUCGAAAGAAAAGUUUGCGACCUCGAUGUUGGAUUAAAAUUAAAUUUUUGGUGAAGGAGCUGGAAUGAUAGGUCUGUUCGACCUUUAAAAUUUUACAUGAUCUGAGUUUAAACCGGUGUGAGCCAGGUCGGUUUCUAUCUA
rnacentral:rRNA from 1 species